UGCGGGGUGGAGCAGCUCGGUAGC
rnacentral:tRNA from 3 species